rnacentral:rRNA from 1 species
GAUGAACGCUGGCGGCGUGCCUAAUACAUGCAAGUCGAACGAACAGACGAGGUUCUUGCUCCUGUGACGUGAGCAACGGACGGGUGAGUAACACGUGGGUAACCAACCUAUAGGGAUGAGAUAGCUUCGGGAAACCGAAGCUAAGAUCGGAUAAUAUUGGGAACCGCAUGGUUCGAUAGUGAAAGAUGGCUCUGCUAUCACUUAAAGAUGGACCUGCGCCGUAUUAGCUAGUUGGUAAGGUAACGGCUUACCAAGGCAACGAUCCGUAGCCGACCUGAGAGGGUGACCGGCCACACUGGAACUGAGACACGGUCCAGACUCCUACGGGAGGCAGCAGUAGGGAAUUUUCCGCAAUGGGCGAAAGCCUGACGGAGCAACGCCGCGUGAGCGAUGAAGGUCUUCGGAUCGUAAAGCACUGUUAGCAGGGAAGAACCAUCGCGUACGUAAAUGUCCUGGUCUUGACGGUACCUACUCAGAAAGCCCCGGCUAACUACGUG